rnacentral:lncRNA from 1 species
CUUGUUACAUAGCCGAGAACUUUGAAUUUCUGAUCUUCUGGCCUCCACCUCCCAGGCUCUGGGACUAUAGGUAUGUAUUGUUGCUUUCAUUCUCUGCAAUGCUGGUGUUGGAGCCAAGGCCACAAACUGAGAUUCUAGCAUCCUGGUUUAGCUAUGCAAAGUGAAGUAUAGACCAAUCUAAGGACUUUUACAAGGACCCAAGGUUAUCAGAAGGGUCAGCAGUGUUGGUCCCUGUUGAAACUGUGACAAGCACAGUCUAAAUGACUUUUCUGUCUUCCAGACAGGAACAUAUCUGUGUUGUAUGUGGUUCUUUGACAUAAAAAGCUUGUUCCCUUGAAAUACCAGCCAUCUAACUUGCCCCUAUUAAGAAUGGCUGAACCAACACAGACUAUUCUCUAACAGUACAUAUUGUAAAUCAAAUCCGAGUCCCUGGGUGCCUAUUGUCCAAGAAAUAUAUGAAGGAUGAGUGAUCAGAAUAAGUGUGUGUGGGGGUUGGGGGGAGAAUCAGUCUGAAAUUCUUGAACAAAUAAGGAGAGUCGCUUGGAGCAGGAACUAAAUUGGAUUGAACCUUAUGUUUGGUUUCUUCAGCCAAAGUCUUAAUCACGCAUACCAAAACAAAAGCCUGAUACAGAGCGAGCCAGGAGAGCUCGUGCUGCAAGCUUGAAGCAUGCUACAGCCCAAAGCUGAUCUUCACCAGAUCAGAAAUUAAUCUCUAACAAUGCAUGCGACGGCUGGCCUUGCCUUGCUGCACUAAUGUCAAAGGUAACCAUGCUAUUUGCAGAGAACCUUAAUUACAUACAUUUAAUUUUCCAGUCAAGAGAUCAGCUCAUUUGAAGGUUUAUUGCCUAAACAUCUACUACAUCCCGUAUGAUGUGUAUGUUAUGUUAUUAGAAACCAAUCUACAGGGCAGAAUCUUGCUAUGUGCUCACCAUGAAGCCAGUCCCAUAGAAAGGUGUAAAGGACCCACUUUCUGUCAUCCUAGAUAAUGACGAAUUAAUUGGUCAGUUGACAACUGGAACACCAAGUCAAAAGCUUAAUAAGAAUAAGCAAUUUGAUGUCAUUGACUGUCAAAUCCAAUUUCGAAGUUCAGUUUAGUCUUAUGGUUCUGGAAUAAUUUCAAUAUUCACUCUUGAAGCCAGGUUUUUAUCUUUCCCUAAAAGUCCUUCUAGUAAGUGGCAUACAUUUCCAAUGUAAAGUUGUACCUGGACCUUUAGUCGGUCUUGGGUCCUCCUCUCAGGCUACCUCCUGCCUUCCCCCUAGUCACUUCC